rnacentral:rRNA from 1 species
UUUACGGUGAACCGCGAACGGCUCAUUACAACAGCUAUUAUAUACUUGAUGUUGAUUUCCUACGUGGAUAACUGUGGUAAUUCUAGAGCUAAUACAUGCACCAAAGCUCCGAUUUUUUGACGAGCGCAUCUAUUAGAUUAAAACCAAUCGGGCUCCGGCUCGUUCAUUGGUGACUCUGAAUAGCUAUCGCUGAUCGCAUGGUCUUGUACCGGCGACGUGUCAAUCAAGUGUCUGCCUUAUCAACUUUCGAUGGUAGUUUAUGUGCCUACCAUGGUUGUAACGGGUAACGGAGAAUAAGGGUUCGACUCCGGAGAGGGAGCCUGAGAAACGGCUACCACAUCCAAGGAAGGCAGCAGGCGCGCAAAUUACCCACUCUCGGCAUGAGGAGGUAGUGACGAAAAAUAACGAGACCGUUCUCUAUGAGGCCGGUUAUCGGAAUGGGUACAAUUUAAACCCGUUAACGAGGAUCUAUGAGAGGGCAAGUCUGGUGCCAGCAGCCGCGGUAAUUCCAGCUCUCAAAGUGUAUAUCGUCAUUGCUGCGGUUAAAAAGCUCGUAGUUGGAUCUUCGCUUCAGGACCUGGUCCACCUUUUCGGUGAGAACUGGGCUCCUUGGCUAGUUCUGCUGGUUUUCCCUACGUUGCCUUCACCGGUCGCGUAGGGUGGCUAGCGAGUUUACUUUGAAAAAAUUAGAGUGCUUCACGCGGGCUAUUGUCUGAAUACUCGUGCAUGGAAUAAUAGAAUAGGAUCUCGGUUCUAUUUUGUUGGUUUUCUGAACUGAGAUAAUGGUUAAGAGGGACGGACGGGGGCAUUCGUAUCGCUGCGUGAGAGGUGAAAUUCUUGGACCGUAGCGAGACGUCCGACUGCGAAAGCAUUUGCCAAGAAUUCUCAUAAU